rnacentral:misc_RNA from 1 species
GAUCAUUAACGCGCAGGCCGGAGGCUGGCCCCCCACGAUAGGGCCAAACGUCCGUCAGGGGUGAGCAGAUGUGCGCCGGCCGUACCGCCCCAUUCUUGUCUACCUUACUCGGUUGCCUCGGCGGGCCGCGCUCUCCCAGGAGAGCCGUUCGGCGAGCCUCUCUUUAGUGGCUAAACGCUGGACCGCGCCCGCCGGAGGACAGACGCAAAAAAAUUCUUUCAGAAGAGCUGUCAGUCUGAGCGUUAGCAAGCAAAAAUCAGUUAAAACUUUCAACAACGGAUCUCUUGGUUCCGGCAUCGAUGAAGAACGCAGCGAAAUGCGAUAAGUAAUGUGAAUUGCAGAAUUCCGUGAAUCAUCGAAUCUUUGAACGCACAUUGCGCCCCCUGGCAUUCCGGGGGGCAUGCCUGUUCGAGCGUCAUUUCAGCCCCUCAAGCCCGGCUUGUGUGAUGGACGACCGUCCGGCGCCCCCGUCUUUGGGGGUGCGGGACGCGCCCGAAAAGCAGUGGCCAGGCCGCGAUUCCGGCUUCCUAGGCGAAUGGGCAACAAACCAGCGCCUCCAGGACCGGCCGCCCUGGCCUCAAAAUCUGUUUUAUACUUAUCAGGUUGACCUCGGAUCAG